CAACAUGCAUUAAUCAUGUUUGUCACCACCUCAAAAAACGCCAUCAAGUUUGCAAGACAUGACCUGCUAUGGUCAAAGCCACGCUGACUGUACCUAAUUAUCUCAUUCUCU